AUUGAACGCUGGCGGCAGGCCUAACACAUGCAAGUCGAGCGGCAGCGGGAAAGUAGCUUGCUACUUUUGCCGGCGAGCGGCGGACGGGUGAGUAAUGCCUGGGGAUCUGCCCAGUCGAGGGGGAUAACUACUGGAAACGGUAGCUAAUACCGCAUACGCCCCACGGGGGACAGCAGGGGACCUUCGGGCCUUGCGCGAUUGGAUGAACCCAGGUGGGAUUAGCUAGUUGGUGAGGUAAUGGCUCACCAAGGCGACGAUCCCUAGCUGGUCUGAGAGGAUGAUCAGCCACACUGGAACUGAGACACGGUCCAGACUCCUACGGGAGGCAGCAGUGGGGAAUAUUGCACAAUGGGGGAAACCCUGAUGCAGCCAUGCCGCGUGUGUGAAGAAGGCCUUCGGGUUGUAAAGCACUUUCAGCGAGGAGGAAAGGUUGGUAGCUAAUAACUGCCAGCUGUGACGUUACUCGCAGAAGAAGCACCGGCUAACUCCGUGCCAGCAGCCGCAGUAAGAC
rnacentral:rRNA from 1 species